GAUGAACGCUGGCGGCGUGCCUAAUACAUGCAAGUCGAGCGAACAGACGAGGAGCUUGCUCCUCUGACGUUAGCGGCGGACGGGUGAGUAACACGUGGAUAACCUACCUAUAAGUCUGGGAUAACUUCGGGAAACCGGAGCUAAUACCGGAUAAUAUAUUGAACCACAUGGUUCAAUAGUGAAAGACGGUUUUGCUGUCACUUAUAGAUGGAUCCGCGCCGCAUUAGCUAGUUGGUAAGGUAACGGCUUACCAAGGCAACGAUGCGUAGCCGACCUGAGAGGGUGAUCGGCCACACUGGAACUGAGACACGGUCCAGACUCCUACGGGAGGCAGCAGUAGGGAAUCUUCCGCAAUGGGCGAAAGCCUGACGGAGCAACGCCGCGUGAGUGAUGAAGGUCUUCGAAUCGUAAAACUCUGUUAUUAGGGAAGAACAAAUGUGUAAGUAACUAUGCACGUCUUGACGGUACCUAAUCAGAAAGCCACGGCUAACUACGUG
rnacentral:rRNA from 1 species